AUUGAACGCUGGCGGAAUGCUUUACACAUGCAAGUCGAACGGCAGCACGGGUGCUUGCACCUGGUGGCGAGUGGCGAACGGGUGAGUAAUACAUCGGAACGUACCCAGUUGUGGGGGAUAACUAACCGAAAGGUUAGCUAAUACCGCAUACGACCUGAGGGUGAAAGCGGGGGACCGUAAGGCCUCGCGCAAUUGGAGCGGCCGAUGUCUGAUUAGCUAGCUGGUAGGGUAAAGGCCUACCAAGGCGACGAUCAGUAGCUGGUCUGAGAGGAUGAUCAGCCACACUGGAACUGAGACACGGUCCAGACUCCUACGGGAGGCAGCAGUGGGGAAUUUUGGACAAUGGGCGAAAGCCUGAUCCAGCCAUUCCGCGUGAGUGAAGAAGGCCUUCGGGUUGUAAAGCUCUUUCGGCAGGGAAGAAACGGCCUAGGUUAAUACCUUGGGCUAAUGACGGUACCUGAAGAAGAAGCACCGGCUAACUUCGUGCCAGCAGCCGCCGUAA
rnacentral:rRNA from 1 species